AGUGACCCCAGGAGGUAUAACUGCAUCUCUGAUCUUGCCAGAGGUCCUAGUGUGAUGUAAGAGCAGACAGUCAGGCAGCUGUUUCCACUGCCAUGCAAUAGGCUGCUGCUGACGGCGUCCAUGGCUGCCACUCUGGAACUGUGCAGUGAUUGACAAAAACUUGGCAAAGACAGCAUUUGAGGAUGUACACUUUCCUUAAUGCCAAAGGCUAUUUAUCAUAAGGCAGGAAAUUAUACAAAAUGCUCCUGGAUUGAGGAACAGAUGGCUUUCCAGGUCAUCCUAAUGUCCCUGGGGACUUAGAGCUGAAGGACCCUGCGUGUCUUCCAGGGCUGGAUGAGUCAAUCUUCUCCUCUUGGCUCUGCCCCUUCACGAACUAUGCAGACAACUUCUCUCCUCCUGAGGGAAAUGAUUUGCCUUAGAAUUCACUACAUGCCAAGUUCUGUGCUAAGCAAGAAACCAGACCCUUGCCAUCUAGGAGGGAUCAGUCUGGCAGGAAGAGAAGGGCAUAAUUCAAACAGUCACAUGUAUGAGCUCAUAGUUACAGAUCCGGAGACACGAUCUGAAGGAAGGAAUGGGGAUUCUUGAGUGUGUGUAACAAAAGGAACCAAUCUGUUCUGGGGGUUGAGACUGGGAAGAGGUCUUCUGGUGGCAGAGUCCUGUUUGGAAUGCCAGAUAAGCUACAGCCCCCAAAAGGAGCUUGUGAGAAAUUGAAAUCACAGUUGGAUUUGAAGUGAUGAGAAGGAUAUUUAUAACCUAAUAAAUGACUUCUGUUUUUCAUCUCCUC
rnacentral:lncRNA from 1 species